AGUGAACGCUGGCGGUAGGCCUAACACAUGCCAGUCGAACGGCAGCACAGUAAGAGCUUGCUCUUACGGGUGGCGAGUGGCGGACGGGUGAGGAAUACAUCGGAACCUACUUUUUCGUGGGGGAUAACGUAGGGAAACUUACGCUAAUACCGCAUACGACCUACGGGUGAAAGCAGGGGAUCUUCGGACCUUGCGCGAUUGAAUGAGCCGAUGUCGGAUUAGCUAGUUGGCGGGGUAAAGGCCCACCAAGGCGACGAUCCGUAGCUGGUCUGAGAGGAUGAUCAGCCACACUGGAACUGAGACACGGUCCAGACUCCUACGGGAGGCAGCAGUGGGGAAUAUUGGACAAUGGGCGCAAGCCUGAUCCAGCCAUACCGCGUGGGUGAAGAAGGCCUUCGGGUUGUAAAGCCCUUUUGUUGGGAAAGAAAAGCAGCAGGUUAAUACCCCGCUGUUCUGACGGUACCCAAAGAAUAAGCACCGGCUAACUUCGU
rnacentral:rRNA from 1 species